rnacentral:rRNA from 1 species
UACAGAGGGUGCGAGCGUUAAUCGGAAUUACUGGGCGUAAAGCGUGCGUAGACGGCUAUCUAAGUCGGGUGUGAAAGCCCCGGGCUCAACCUGGGAAUUGCAUUCGAGACUGAAUAGCUAGGGUACGGUAGAGGGAAGCGGAAUUUCCGGUGUAGCGGUGAAAUGCGUAGAUAUCGGAAGGAACAUCAGUGGCGAAAGCGGCUUCCUGGACCAGUACCGACGUCAGGCACGAAAGCGUCGGGGAGCAAACAGGAAU